rnacentral:rRNA from 1 species
GGACGGGUGAGUAACACGUGGGUAACCUGCCCAUAAGACUGGGAUAACAUUCGGAAACGAAUGCUAAUACCGGAUACGCGAAUCGGUCGCAUGAUCGAAUCGGGAAAGGCGGAGCAAUCUGCCACUUAUGGAUGGACCCGCGGCGCAUUAGCUAGUUGGUGGGGUAACGGCUCACCAAGGCGACGAUGCGUAGCCGACCUGAGAGGGUGAUCGGCCACACUGGGACUGAGACACGGCCCAGACUCCUACGGGAGGCAGCAGUAGGGAAUCUUCCGCAAUGGACGAAAGUCUGACGGAGCAACGCCGCGUGAGUGAUGAAGGUUUUCGGAUCGUAAAGCUCUGUUGCCAGGGAAGAACGCUUGCGAGAGUAACUGCUCGCAAGGUGACGGUACCUGAGAAGAAAGCCCCGGCUAACUACGUGCCAGCAGCCGCGGUAAUACGUAGGGGGCAAGCGUUGUCCGGAAUUAUUGGGCGUAAAGCGCGCGCAGGCGGCCUUG